AUUGAACGCUGGCGGCAGGCCUAACACAUGCAAGUCGAACGAGUGGCGGACGGGUGAGUAAUGUCUGGGAAACUGCCUGAUGGAGGGGGAUAACUACUGGAAACGGUAGCUAAUACCGCAUACCAUCGGGUGGGCCCAGAUGGGAUUGGCUAGUAGGUGGGGUAACGGCUCACCUAGGCGACGAACCCUAGCUGGUCUGAGAGGAUGACCGGCCACAAUGGAACGGAGACACGGUCCAGACUCCUACGGGAGGCAGCAGUGGGGAAUAUUGCACAAUGGGCGCAAGCCUGAUGCAGCCAUGCCGCGUGUGUGAAGAAGGCCUUCGGGUUGUAAAGCACUUUCAGCGGGGAGGCGUUACCCGCAGAAGAAGCACCGGCUAACUCCGUGCCAGCAGCCGCGGUAAUUC
rnacentral:rRNA from 1 species